GGAGGAGUACCCAAGUGGCUUACGGGAGCACUCUGCUAAUGUGCCAAGGGAGUAAAAUCCCUUCGUGGGUUCGAAUCCCACCUCCUCCG
rnacentral:tRNA from 2 species